rnacentral:rRNA from 1 species
AUAGUGUCGCGAUGGUAAUUCAACCUAGUACGAGAGGAACCGUUGAUUCGCACAAUUGGUAAUCGCGCUUGGUUGAAAAGCCAGUGGCGCGAAGCUACCGUGCGCUGGAUUAUGACUGAACGCCUCUAAGUUAGAAUCCGGGUUAGAAGCGAUGCAUGCACCCCGCUUGAUGCCGUCCUACAGUAGGGGCUUCGGCCCCCAAGGGCACGUGUCGUAGGCUAAGCUAGCGCGGCGGAUGCGCCGUGACGGUCGCCUUGAAGUACAAUUCCUACCGAGCGGCAGGUUAAAUCCUUUGCAGACGACUUAAAUACGCGACGGGGUAUUGUAAGUGGCAGAGUGGCCUUGCUGCCACGAUCCACUGAGAUUCAGCCUUAUGUCGCUCCGAUUC